GUGAACUCCAGAACACUCCCUAGCUCGCGAACACCAUCGUAAAACUCCAUAGCCGUCAUCACCGUGCGCCGUCGCCGUGCCGCCGUGGUCAUCACCAAAACUCCAUAGACGUCGCCUCCUCCUCCAUUUCUGACCGGUUUCUGUUCCUUCUAC